rnacentral:rRNA from 1 species
UACAGAGACUGCAAGCGUUAUUCGGAUUCACUGGGCGUAAAGGGUGCGCAGGCGGCCGUGUGUGUGAGGCGUGAAAGCCCGGAGCUCAACUCCGGAAUUGCACCUCAAACUACACGGCUAGAGCAUUGGAGAGGGUAGCGGAAUUCACGGUGUAGCAGUGAAAUGCGUAGAUAUCGUGAGGAACACCAGAGGCGAAGGCGGCUACCUGGACAAUUGCUGACGCUCAGGCACGAAAGCGUGGGGAGCAAACAGG